UACGGGGGGAGCAAGCGUUGUUCGGAUUUACUGGGCGUAAAGGGCGCGUAGGCGGCGUGACAAGUCACUUGUGAAAUCUCCGGGCUUAACCCGGAGCGGCCAAGUGAUACUGUCGUGCUAGAGUGCGGAAGGGGCUACUGGAAUUCUCGGUGUAGCGGUGAAAUGCGUAGAUACUGGGAGGAACACCGGUGGCGAAGGCGGCUACCUGGACGGGUACUGACGCUGGAGGCGCGAAAGCUAGGGAGCAAACAGG
rnacentral:rRNA from 1 species